rnacentral:rRNA from 1 species
UACAGAGGAUGCAAGCGUUAUCCGGAAUGAUUGGGCGUAAAGCGUUUGUAGGUGGCUUUUUAAGUCCGCCGUCAAAUCCCAGGGCUCAACUCUGGACAGGCGGUGGAAACUACCAAGCUGGAGUACGGUAGGGGCAGAGGGAAUUUCCGGUGGAGCGGUGAAAUGCGUAGAGAUCGGGAAGAACACCAACGGCGAAAGCGCUCUGCUGGGCCGACACUGACACUGAGAGACGAAAGCUAGGGGAGCGAAUGGG